rnacentral:rRNA from 1 species
UACGGAGGGAGCUAGCGUUGUUCGGAAUCACUGGGCGUAAAGCGCACGUAGGCGGAUUGCUAAGUCAGGGGUGAAAUCCUGGAGCUCAACUCCAGAACUGCCUUUGAUACUGGCGAUCUUGAGUCCGGGAGAGGUGAGUGGAACUGCGAGUGUAGAGGUGAAAUUCGUAGAUAUUCGCAAGAACACCAGUGGCGAAGGCGGCUCACUGGCCCGGUACUGACGCUGAGGUGCGAAAGCGUGGGGAGCAAACAGG